rnacentral:rRNA from 1 species
GGUUUACCUGUGUGACUGCGUACCUUUUGUAUAAUGGGUCAGCGACUUAUAUUCUGUAGCAAGGUUAACCGAAUAGGGGAGCCGGAGGGAAACCGAGUCUUAAUUGGGCGUUAAGUUGCAGGGUAUAGACCCGAAACCCGGUGAUCUAGCCAUGGGCAGGUUGAAGGUUGGGUAACACUAACUGGAGGACCGAACCGACUAAUGUUGAAAAAUUAGCGGAUGACCUGUGGCUGGGGGUGAAAGGCCAAUCAAACCGGGAGAUAGCUGGUUCUCCCCGAAAGCUAUUUAGGUAGCGCCUCGUGAAUUCAUCUCCGGGGGUAGAGCACUGUUUCGGCUAGGGGGCCAUCCCGGCUUACCAACCCGAUGCAAACUGCGAAUACCGGAGAAUGUUAUCACGGGAGACACACGGCGGGUGCUAACGUCCGUCGUGAAGAGGGAAACAACCCAGACCGCCAGCUAAGGUCCCAAAGUCAUGGUUAAGUGGGAAACGAUGUGGGAAGGCCCAGACAGCCAGGAUGUUGGCUUAGAAGCAGCCAUCAUUUAAAGAAAGCGUAAUAGCUCACUGGUCGAGUCGGCCUGCGCGGAAGAUGUAACGGGGCUAAACCAUGCACCGAAGCUGCGGCAGCGACGCUGAUGCGUUGUUGGGUAGGGGAGCGUUC